GAGGGUAGAGCUCAGUGGUAGAGCACAUGCUUAGCAUGCAUGAGGUCCUGGGUUCAAUUCCCCAGUACCUCCG
rnacentral:tRNA from 1 species